GACGAACGCUGGCGGCGUGCUUAACACAUGCAAGUCGAACGGAAAGGCCCUGCUUUUGUGGGGUGCUCGAGUAGCGAACGGGUGAGUAACACGUGAGUAACCUGCCCUUGACUUUGGGAUAACUUCAGGAAACUGGGGCUAAUACCGGAUAGGAGCUCCUGCUGCAUGGUGGGGGUUGGAAAGUUUCGGCGGUUGGGGAUGGACUCGCGGCUUAUCAGCUUGUUGGUGGGGUAGUGGCUUACCAAGGCUUUGACGGGUAGCCGGCCUGAGAGGGUGACCGGCCACAUUGGGACUGAGAUACGGCCCAGACUCCUACGGGAGGCAGCAGUGGGGAAUAUUGCACAAUGGGCGGAAGCUUGAUGCAGCAACGCCGCGUGCGGGAUGACGGCCUUCGGGUUGUAAACCGCUUUCGCCUGUGACGAAGCGUGAGUGACGGUAAUGGGUAAAGAAGCACCGGCUAACUACGUG
rnacentral:rRNA from 1 species